rnacentral:rRNA from 1 species
GGCUCAGAACGAACGCUGGCGGCAUGCCUAACACAUGCAAGUCGAACGAUGCUUUCGGGCAUAGUGGCGCACGGGUGCGUAACGCGUGGGAAUCUGCCCCUUGGUUCGGAAUAACAGUUAGAAAUGACUGCUAAUACCGGAUGACGACGUAAGUCCAAAGAUUUAUCGCCGAGGGAUGAGCCCGCGUAGGAUUAGCUAGUUGGUGUGGUAAAGGCGCACCAAGGCGACGAUCCUUAGCUGGUCUGAGAGGAUGAUCAGCCACACUGGGACUGAGACACGGCCCAGACUCCUACGGGAGGCAGCAGUGGGGAAUAUUGGACAAUGGGCGCAAGCCUGAUCCAGCAAUGCCGCGUGAGUGAUGAAGGCCUUAGGGUUGUAAAGCUCUUUUACCCGUGA